rnacentral:rRNA from 1 species
UACGUAGGGUGCGAGCGUUAAUCGGAAUUACUGGGCGUAAAGCGUGCGCAGGUGGUCAUGCAAGACAGAUGUGAAAUCCCCGGGCUUAACCUGGGAACUGCAUUUGUGACUGCACGGCUAGAGUGCGGCAGAGGGGGGAUGGAAUUCCGCGUGUAGCAGUGAAAUGCGUAGAUAUGCGGAGGAACACCGAUGGCGAAGGCAAUCCCCCUGGGCCUGCACUGACGCUCAUGCACGAAAAGCGUGGGGGAGCAAACAGG